rnacentral:rRNA from 1 species
CGCGGCCUAUCAGCUUGUUGGUGAGGUAACGGCUCACCAAGGCGACGACGGGUAGCCGGCCUGAGAGGGCGACCGGCCACACUGGGACUGAGACACGGCCCAGACUCCUACGGGAGGCAGCAGUGGGGAAUAUUGCGCAAUGGGCGAAAGCCUGACGCAGCAACGCCGCGUGGGGGAUGAAUGCCUUCGGAUUGUAAACCCCUUUCAGCAGGGACGAAGCGAGAGUGACGGUACCUGCAGAAGAAGCGCCGGCUAACUACGUGCCAGCAGCCGCGGUAAUACGUAGGGCGCAAGCGUUGUCCGGAAUUAUUGGGCGUAAAGAGCUCGUAGGUGGUUUGUUACGUCCGCUGUGAAAACCUAGGGCUUAACCCUGGGCCUGCAGUGGAUACGGGCAGACUAGAGGUAGGUAGGGGAGAAUGGAAUUCCCGGUGUAGCGGUGAAAUGCGCAGAUAUCGGGAGGAACACCGGUGGCGAAGGCGGUUCUCUGGGCCUUACCUGACACUGAGGAGCGAAAGCGUGGGGAGCGAACAGGAUUAGAUACCCUGGUAGUCCACGCCGUAAACGUUGGGCGCUAGGUGUGGGGUCCUUCCACGGACUCCGUGCCGCAGCUAACGCAUUAAGCGCCCCGCCUGGGGAG